GCGGUCAUCCAUGCUGUUAAUAGUUUGUCGGCUUCUUCUCUACCAGUGGUGCGAUUAUUACGGAAGUUUGUUUAGAAUGUUUUUUAACAUUGUUUUCUGGGCUCGUCACGUGCCUGGAUUGUUAAACAUCAUGGCUGUUGAGUUGUCUCGUUCACAGUUGGACCAUUUUCAUCAGGUGGGACCCAGGGCGCAAGCAGUGGGACAGGUCUGUCCGGAGGAGAUG